UCCACCGUGAGGUGGAAUCUGAAGGAAGCUGGAGGCAAACCCUCGACCUGAGGUACACGAAUCGCAUUUGAGGCUGUCAUAGUUGGACGAGUUGCCUACACACAACGAAGUCCUAAGUCGCCAAGAGCUACGGCAGUAAACUGCGGCAGGUACGUGAGGGGAAAGAGUCCGUU
rfam:Alicyclobacillus hesperidum TRH17-3-68 TRH17368ctg64, whole genome shotgun sequence.